CCUACGGGGGGCAGCAGUGAGGAAUAUUGGUCAAUGGACGAGAGUCUGAACCAGCCAAGUAGCGUGAAGGAUGACUGCCCUAUGGGUUGUAAACUUCUUUUAUAUGGGAAUAAAAUGUUCCACGUGUGGGAUUUUGUAUGUACCAUAUGAAUAAGGAUCGGCUAACUCCGUGCCAGCAGCCGCGGUAAUACGGAGGAUCCGAGCGUUAUCCGGAUUUAUUGGGUUUAAAGGGAGCGUAGGUGGAUUGUUAAGUCAGUUGUGAAAGUUUGCGGCUCAACCGUAAAAUUGCAGUUGAAACUGGCAGUCUUGAGUACAGUAGAGGUGGGCGGAAUUCGUGGUGUAGCGGUGAAAUGCUUAGAUAUCACGAAAAACUCCGAUUGCGAAGGCAGUUCACUGGACUGCAACUGACACUGAGGCUCGAAAGUGUGGGUAUCAAACAGGAUUAGAUACCCUUGUAGUC
rnacentral:rRNA from 1 species